CAAGAGAAAGAAGGGAGAAAGAAGAAGAAGAAGAAAAAGGACUGCUGUUCGUGUAUUUUUGGGGCUGCAAUUACAUAUUUUCUCUGCUCCUGCUGUGUUCUCUUGUUGGCAUUAUUGAAAUCCUACUGCUGUUGUAGAAAAGGAUGCAUGCAAGGUAAGAUUAGAGGUGCAAGGGGCUGUCCAAGCUGAAAUCCUGCUAAAAUUUUACUGCAUAUAUUGAGCUGCUACUGUACCUGUUUGGAGAGGUAAGGAGCCUUUAGCUCAAAAUGGUAGAGCAUCUGGAGUAAUGCCCAGGUUAUGGUGGUUCGAAUACAUCAAGACUCAAUGAAUUUUUGAGAUUUGCAGAGCUAGCUUGGAGAGUCUGGUAAGGUUAGGAGUCAGUUGAGGUAUGCUAGUUUUUCCUUGCUUGACCAGGUCGUAGUCACUAUUAUGUAAUUGUCUAAUCUUUCUUUUUUCUCUAAUUUAUAAUCUGUAUGUAAUUCUGUACUGGGUGUAAUUACUUGUCUUCUUGAGCUUAAGAUUGUAUCCUUUUGUGUGUUCUGAUGUAAUCUUUGCAAACAUGCGGUGGUGUGAGUUUAGCAUGUAUAAAUGAUUGAGUGGAAGAUUUUCGAAAA